rnacentral:rRNA from 1 species
UACGAAGGGAGCUAGCGUUGUUCGGAAUCACUGGGCGUAAAGCGCACGUAGGCGGAUGUGUCAGUCAGGGGUGAAAUCCCGGAGCUCAACUUCGGAACUGCCCUUGAUACAGCACAUCUUGAGUCCGGAAGAGGUGGGUGGAAUUCCUAGUGUAGAGGUGAAAUUCGUAGAUAUUAGGAAGAACACCGGUGGCGAAGGCG